rnacentral:tRNA from 2 species
GGGCUUAUAGCUCAGUUGGAAGAGCGCGGCGUUUGCAACGCCGAGGCCAGGGGUUCAAAUCCCCUUAAGUCCA